GGGGUUUCAUCGAUCCAUCUGUCAAGGGUGUUCAGAAGAGCCACCAGCUUUUCUAUUGGCUCUGAAACGUUGUAUUCACAGGUCAGUUUCCUGCCCUUGACACCUUCGUUCAGGGUGAGGAUGAAGCCCAUGUAAUCUGCAUAUGCCUGAGAGCGCUUCCACUUGCCCAUGUCAGAAACCAUGUUUAUCUCCUUUCUGGGGAUCAUGAAGCUCUGCUG
rnacentral:lncRNA from 1 species